GAUGAACGCUGGCGGCGUGCCUAAUACAUGCAAGUCGAGCGAAUGGAUUGAGAGCUUGCUCUUAUGAAGUUAGCGGCGGACGGGUGAGUAACACGUGGGUAACCUGCCCAUAAGACUGGGAUAACUCCGGGAAACCGGGGCUAAUACCGGAUAACAUUUUGAACCGCAUGGUUCAAAAUUGAAAGGCGGCUUCGGCUGUCACUUAUGGAUGGACCCGCGUCGCAUUAGCUAGUUGGGGAGGUAACGGCCCACCAAGGCAACGAUGCGUAGCCGACCUGAGAGGGUGAUCGGCCACACUGGGGCUGGGACACGGCCCAGACUCCUACGGGAGGCAGCAGUAGGGAAGCUUCCGCAAUGGACGAAAGUCUGACGGAGCAACGCCGCGUGAGUGAUGAAGGCUUUCGGGUCGUAAAACUCUGUUGUUAGGGAAGAACAAGUGCUAGUUGAAUAAGCUGGCACCUUGACGGUACCUAACCAGAAAGCCACGGCUAACUACGUGCCAGCCGCCGCAGUAA
rnacentral:rRNA from 1 species